rnacentral:rRNA from 1 species
CUCCGGUUGAUCCCGCCGGACCCGACUGCUAUCGGAUUGGGAUUUAGCCAUGUUAGUUGUGCGUUCCUUGGCUACAGGGGACGCAGCAUACGGCUCAGUAACACGUAGUCAACCUGCCCUGGAGACGUGGACAAACCCGGGAAACUGGGAUUAAUCCGUGAUAGGUCAUCUCCUCUGGAAGGAGAGAUGGUUUAAAGGGGUGCGCGAGCUUCUUUUGUGCACUUGCUCCAGGAUGGGACUGCGCCCGAUCAGGCUGUUGGCGGGGUAAUGGCCCACCAAACCUGUAACCGGUACGGGCUUUGAGAGAAGGAGCCCGGAGAUGGACACUGAGACAAGGGUCCAGGCCCUACGGGGCGCAUCAGGCGCGAAAACUUCGCAAUGCGCGAAAGCGUGACGAGGCUAGUCCGAGUGCUUCCUGCUAAAGGGAGCUUUUCUCGGCUGUAAAUAGGCCGGGGAAUAAGGGGAGGGCAAGUCUGGUGUCAGCCGCCGCGGUAAUACCAGCUCCUCGAGUGGUCGGGACGAUUAUUGGGCCUAAAGCACCCGUAGCCUGUUCUGUAAGUCCUCUGUUAAAUCCAGUCGCUCAACGGCUGGCCCGCAGAGGAUACUGCAAGACUAGGAGGCGGGAGAGGCGGACGGUACUCCGCGUGUAGGGGUAAAAUCCUUUGAUCCGCGGAAGACCACCAGUGGCGAAGGCGGUCCGCCAGAACGCGCUCGACGGUGAGGGGUGAAAGCUGGGGGAGCGAACCGGAUUAGAUACCCGGGUAGUCCCAGCCGUAAACGAUGCGAGCUAGAUGAUUCGAUCGCAGUUCGCGAUCGAAGUGUCGCAGGGAAGCCGUUAAGCUCGCCGCCUGGGGAGUACGGUCGCAAGGCUGAAUCGUAGAGCAGAUUUUCUGCCUACGCAGUUCACUUAAAGGAAAUGGCGGGGGGAGCA